rnacentral:rRNA from 1 species
GACGAACGCUGGCGGCGUGCUUAACACAUGCAAGUCGAACGGAAAGGCCCUGCUUGCAGGGUACUCGAGUGGCGAACGGGUGAGUAACACGUGGGUGAUCUGCCCUGCACUUCGGGAUAAGCCUGGGAAACUGGGUCUAAUACCGGAUAGGAGCCAUUUUUAGUGUGAUGGUUGGAAAGUUUUUUCGGUGUAGGAUGAGCUCGCGGCCUAUCAGCUUGUUGGUGGGGUAAUGGCCUACCAAGGCGGCGACGGGUAGCCGGCCUGAGAGGGUGGACGGCCACCCUGGGGCUUAGAGACGGCCCAGAUACCGACGGGUGGCAGCAGUGGGGAAUCUUGCACAAUGGGCGCCAGCCUGAUGCAGCGGCGCCGCGUGGGGGAUGACGGCCUUCUGGUUGUAAACUCCUUUCGCUAGGGACGAAGCUUUUUGUGACGGUACCUAGAUAAGAAGCACCGGCUAACUACGUG